rnacentral:rRNA from 1 species
GAUGAACGCUGGCGGCGUGCCUAAUACAUGCAAGUCGAGCGAACGGACGAGAAGCUUGCUUCUCUGAUGUUAGCGGCGGACGGGUGAGUAACACGUGGAUAACCUACCUAUAAGACUGGGAUAACUUCGGGAAACCGGAGCUAAUACCGGAUAAUAUUUUGAACCGCAUGGCUCAAAAGUGAAAGACGGUCUUGCUGUCACUUAUAGAUGGAUCCGCGCUGCAUUAGCUAGUUGGUAAGGUAACGGCUUACCAAGGCAACGAUGCAUAGCCGACCUGAGAGGGUGAUCGGCCACACUGGAACUGAGACACGGUCCAGACUCCUACGGGAGGCAGCAGUAGGGAAUCUUCCGCAAAGGGCGAAAGCCUGACGGAGCAACGCCGCGUGAGUGAUGAAGGUCUUCGGAUCGUAAAACUCUGUUAUUAGGGAAGAACAUAUGUGUAAGUAACUGUGCACAUCUUGACAGUACCUAAUCAGAAAGCCACGGCUAACUACGUG